GGGUUUGUGGCUCAGUGGUACAGUGCUUGCCUACUACAUGUGAGGCACUGAGUUCAAUCCUCAGAACCCA
rnacentral:tRNA from 1 species